rnacentral:tRNA from 1 species
UGUCCCAUGUGGUCUAGUGGUUAGGAUCUGGCGUUUUCACCGCCAUGGCCCGGGUUCGAUUCCCGGUGUCACAG